CCUAACAAUGCCGACGUUGCAAGACAACAGAGAGGAAGAGGGCGACAACAACAACAACAACAACAACAACAACAAGUAAUCUCAGAUUAAAUCUGUGCCACCCUAGUUUAUCAUGUGCUCAUACAUGGGAGGACUAUGAGAGAACCUGGACAGCUAGUGCAACCCAACCUAAGCCGUUACACGGUUGCAUCCAUUGUCCGUACUUUCAGAAGGGAAAAUGGGACUGAGAGGUAUUGGAGGUAGGCGGAGACUUCUCACAGCUGAGCAGGAGACUGCCCUGGAGAAUAUGGUGAUUGCCAAUAAUGCCAUCUGUUUGAGGGAAAUUCAAACCCAAAUAGUUGAAAACCUGGUAGUCUUCCAAGGAAUUGACAGUGUCAACAUUUCCACCAUUGACCAGAUCGUUCAGAAGAACCACAUAAGGACAAAGCAGCUGUACUGUGUGCCUUUUGAAAGGAAUUCAAACAGAGUUAAGGAGCAACGAUUCCAGUAUGUGCAGGAUGGGGAGCCAGGGCAACCAGAGCAAGUCUAAUAUGUUGUCAUUUAGGAUAACGUGAGUUCCCAUAGUCUCCUCUGGUUCGCACCUGGUUCAAUGACCACCCCAGGUUCACUAUUUUUUUACCAGCAUAUUCUCCAAUUCCGAUUGCUUAAUUUUUCUCAGCAUGGCGGUGGAGAGUAUAUGACAGCAACCCUUACACACAGCAAAACCUCCUGGAGGCAAUGGUGGACGCCUGUGUUGAUGUGUCUGUGGAGUCUAUCCAGGGUUUUCUAAGGCAUUUUGCCCACGCUGUCUGGCAAGAGCAAACGUAAUGUGUGACUGUGAUGAGAUAUUAUGGUCGGACCCAGACCUGAGACGAGAUGACGAGAACACUGAUGCUGAUGCUGAGUAACCUGUACAUUUUCUGUAUUUGGAAAUAAAGCUUUUG